GCUUCGGGGUGUGGUGAAAGUCCAUACCGGCGGUGAUGCGGCUUUGGCCGACGAGCCCGCGAACCCAUUUCAUGGGCCGAGCCGGUGCGAUUCCGGGGCCGACGGUUAUAGUCCGGAAGGUAGAAGC
rnacentral:ncRNA from 1 species